AAUAUUACCUUUAAUGAAAGAUAAUAUGAGCCAUUUGAUUCUAUGUUAUUUGUUAAAACCAGAACCAUCAGAUUUUAGAGAAAAAAUGAUAUUUACGAAAAUACCAUUAAUAAAUCAUCAGUCAUAACCGUCGGAUUAUCACAUCUAUCUUUUAAUCAUGGCCACACGAUUUCGCCCAUCUCUCCAUCUCUCUGUUCUCUCAUUAAUCACAACCACAUGAUCAAUU
rnacentral:lncRNA from 1 species